CAAACCGAGGCAAAAUCACAACCUGAUUCAAAAUGUCCGUUGACUCGUGUGUCGCUACAUUGGAGAGCAGAAGAAGAUCCAUGGAAACGGCAUGCAAUAUCGUCUCCCAGCUGUUGUUAUUUAUUAACAGUACGGGGCAGGGAAUAUGUUAAUAAUGUAACAGGCCAGGAGUUAUAUGAAGUUUCUGCUGAAGCAUCAACACAAAUUACUGAUAAGAAUCCUGAGAGAUCCAAUAGUGAAAAUGAUACUAAUGAAACGACUCUCCUUCAGGAACUUGCUGCUGCAAAGGAAAAAAGUCGAACAUUGAAAAAUGCUCGUUUGUGUAAAGCUUGCGCGGAACGAGAAGUCACAGUUGUAUUCCUACCUUGUGGACAUGCAGCAACCUGCGAUUACUGUUCACAAGCUUUCUCACAAUGCAUAAUUUGCCAAGGAGAAAUUAAAGCCACUAGCUGUAUCUUUUUGACGUAAUGCAUGCACAUAUGUAUAUAUAAUUAUGUACAUAUAUAAAUUAGCUUAUCCAUAUUUCUCAUAUAAAUAUACUUUACAAUUUUUAAAAAUUGACGUACACACAUUAAAAUUUGUGAUACCAUGUAUCGUUAAAUUAAGUGUAUAUAUCAUGAAAUGAUAAAAUAUUUUAUUUCUAGUACUAUUUCUACAGUAAUUAAUAAAUAGAAACAUAAUAUUAAACUGAUGAAAUACAUUUUUUCUUUAUAUUUUUGGCUUUUUUUGUAUUUUAAGUGUAUUUUACUUAAUUAAACAUUAAUAAUAAUUAUGUAUCUUAUUUUAUCCGAAUAAAGUUAACUUUUUCCGCAUCUAA